GAUGAAGAACGUAGCGAAAUGCGAUAAGUAAUGUGAAUUGCAGAAUUCAGUGAAUCAUCGAAUCUUUGAACGCACAUUGCGCCCGCCAGUAUUCUGGCGGGCAUGCCUGUUCGAGCGUCAUUUCAACCAUCAAGCCCCCGGCUUGUGUUGGGGACCUGCGGCUGCCGCAGGCCCUGAAAAGCAGUGGCGGGCUCGCUGUCACACCGAGCGUAGUAGCAUACAUCUCGCUCUGGGCGUGCUGCGGGUUCCGGCCGUUAAACCACCUUCAUAACCCAAGGUUGACCUCGGAUCAGGUAGGAAGACCCGCUGAACUUAAGCAUAUUAAUAAGCGGAGGA
rnacentral:misc_RNA from 1 species